CUAAGAUAUUUUUAGAAACUGGGAUUUUUUCUCUGACUUGAUGAAAUGAGGACUUUUCACAAGUUUUGUUUUCCAAGUCAGUUGUUAAUUUCUUUGCAUGGAUUCAGCAUGCCUAUUAAUUUACCAUUAGCUCAAUUUUUGCUCUUUUGCUCAUUAUUAAGCAAAUUGUUGAUACAACUUUAUGUACAGAAUAAUGUGAUAUAAAGAAAAAACAGAUUAGUAAAUGGCCAAAUUAAAUUUUUUAAUCCAUAUAAAUAACUUUACUAUUUGUUACUCAUGUUGAAAUCCUUAUUGGAUAUUACAAACUUAUACUUUUUGAUCAGACAGAAUUCAUUGUUUGAAAUAUAUAAGAGAGAGCAGGUUUAAAAAGUCAGAAUUUGUAGAAAAAUUCAAAUCCUUAAUUUUAAAUAUUUUUUUUGUCUUAGGUGUAAGCGAAUAUGAAAUUGAAUUUAAUUGUGUUUACAAUAUUUUUUAUGUUCUUAAGUUCAGCUCUAACUAAACGCUACUUAGUUGAAACCAUGGAAGGCUGGGGACUAUAACCAAAGAUGGGGUCAAUGUCCUAGGAUGGUGAAUUGGUGCUGAACUGCUGUCUGACUAUCAGCUGGCUAUAAAUCAGCUGACUGAUAAUCAGCUAACUGAUAAUUAGCUGACUGAUAAUCACCUGACUAACAUUCAGCUGACUGAUAAUCAGCUGACGGAUAAUCCACUGAUUGCUUAUCAGCUGACUGAUAAUCCACUGAUUGCUAAUCAGCUAGCCACUGAUAAAAAAAUGUAAUUUAAAUAUAUUUUAUUCAAUAAACAGUUUGCAUUCUUA